UACAGAGGUCCCGAGCGUUGUUCGGAUUCACUGGGCGUAAAGGGUGCGUAGGCUGCGGGGCAAGUCGGGUGUGAAAUCUCAGAGCUCAACUCUGAAACUGCACUCGAUACUGCUUUGCUCGAGGACUGGAGAGGAGAUUGGAAUUCACGGUGUAGCAGUGAAAUGCGUAGAUAUCGUGAGGAAGACCAGUGGCGAAGGCGGAUCUCUGGACAGUUCCUGACGCUGAGGCGCGAAGGCCAGGGGAGCAAACGGG
rnacentral:rRNA from 1 species